rnacentral:tRNA from 1 species
GGAUAUAGCUCAGUGGUAGAGUGCUUGCCUCACUUGCAGGAAGCCCUGGAUUCAAUCCCUAGCACCA